rnacentral:tRNA from 1 species
GGGUUUAGGUUAAACACAAACCAGGGGCCUUCAAAGCCCCAAAUAAGUGCCCACACUUAACCCUUG